rnacentral:lncRNA from 1 species
UGGCUUGCUCGCCCUGUGGCUCUGUGGUGGUGGCAGGGUCUGCGAAAGGGAAGAUUUAUAUGGGAAAUAGGAAGAAGAAGGCUGUGGUUGAGGAAGAGGAAGGGAGGAAAUCUGUUGGUGGUGAGAUUGAUUGGGUAUCUCCUGAGCCAGAGAAGUCAGUGUUGAGGCCAAAUUACUUCAGGUACUUCCGUCGUGGGCAGAAUGAGAAGGCCAAGGAGGGUGACUUUGUGAUUGAGAAGCCUAAGAAAGUGAAAAUUGCAGAGCAUGAUAAGUUACUGAGGAAGUUCAGGCACAAGGAUGCUCUGGUUUCAGCAUUGGCCAAGAACAACCCGAGGAGUGUUGUGGCUGUGAUGGAGGAGCUGGUUGCAAGAAGAAAGCUCAUGAGAUGCAUUGGGAAUUUGGAUAAUGAGGAACUUGGUCUUCUUUUGGAGUUCCUUCACCGGAAUGCAACUUUGCCAAGGUAUGCUAAGUUGCUGUUGUGUUUGGCAAACAAGGUUGUGG